AUCGCUUCUCGGCCUCUUGGCUAAGAUCAAGUGUAGUAUCUGUUCUUAUCAGUUUAAUAAUUUUUUACUGCUAAGUGAAGGAUAUUCUUAAUUGGAACUGGCCUUUUUUUUUUUUUUAAGGGUGAGUUUGUGACAGUGAAGAAUAUACUGCCUGGGAGAUCAGUUUUAUCUCACUGUCUUGAUUCCUUCCAAGACCAG
ensembl:snRNA U2 U2 spliceosomal RNA